rnacentral:rRNA from 1 species
CCGGGUGGCAGCAGUGAGGAAUAUUGGUCAAUGGACGAGAGUCUGAACAAGCCAAGUAGCGUGAAGGAUGAAUGCCCUAUGGGUUGUAAACUUCUUUUAUAUGGGAAUAAAAUGUUCAACGUGUGGGAUUUUGUAUGUACAAUAUGAAUAAGGAUCGGAUAACUCCGUGCCAGCAGCAGCGGUAAUACGGAUGAUCCGAGCGUUAUACGGAUGUAUUGGGUUUAAAGGGAGCGUAGGUGGAUUGUUAAGUCAGUUGUGAAAGUUUGCGGCUCAAACGUAAAAUUGCAUUUGACAGUGGCAGUCUUGAGUACAGUAGAGGUGGGCGGAAUUCGUGGUGUAGCGGUGAAAUGCUUAGAUAUCACGAAGAACUCCGAUUGCGAAGGCAGCUCACUGGACUGCAACUGACACUGAGGCUCGAAAGUGUGGGUAUCAAACAGGAUUAGAUACCCCUGUAGUC